UACGGGGGGGGCAAGCGUUGUUCGGAAUUACUGGGCGUAAAGGGCGCGUAGGCGGCCUGCUAAGUCGGGACGUGAAAUCCCUCGGCUCAACCGAGGAACUGCGUCCGAUACUGGUGGGCUUGAAUCCGGGAGAGGGAUGUGGAAUUCCAGGUGUAGCGGUGAAAUGCGUAGAUAUCUGGAGGAACACCGGUGGCGAAGGCGGCAUCCUGGACCGGUAUUGACGCUGAGGCGCGAAAAGCUAGGGUAGCAAACGGG
rnacentral:rRNA from 1 species